AGUGAACGCUGGCGGUAGGCCUAACACAUGCAAGUCGAACGGCAGCACAGUAAGAGCUUGCUCUUACGGGUGGCGAGUGGCGGACGGGUGAGGAAUACAUCGGAAUCUACUUUUUCGUGGGGGAUAACGUAGGGAAACUUACGCUAAUACCGCAUACGACCUACGGGUGAAAGCAGGGGAUCUUCGGACCUUGCGCGAUUGAAUGAGCCGAUGUCGGAUUAGCUAGUUGGCGGGGUAAAGGCCCACCAAGGCGACGAUCCGUAGCUGGUCUGAGAGGAUGAUCAGCAACACUGGAACUGAGACACGGUCCAGACUCCUACGGGAGGCAGCAGUGGGGAAUAUUGGACAAUGGGAGCAAGCCUGAUCCAGCCAUACCGCGUGGGUGAAGAAGGCCUUCGGGUUGUAAAGCCAUUUUGUUGGGAAAGAAAAGCAGCAGGUUAAUACCCCGCUGUUCUGACGGUACCCAAAGAAUAAGCACCGGCUAACUUCGU
rnacentral:rRNA from 1 species